rnacentral:rRNA from 1 species
UUGACUUGUACCAGCAAAGGAAGCCCCGGCUAACUCUGUGCCAGCAGCCGCGGUAAUACAGAGGGGGCUAGCGUUAUUCGGAAUUAUUGGGCGUAAAGGGCGCGUAGGCGGCCUUGCGUGUCUUUCGUGAAAUCCCUCGGCUUAACUGAGGACGUGCGGAAGAAACUGCAGGGCUUGGGUCCGGGAGAGGGGGGUGGAAUUCCCAGUGUAGCGGUGAAAUGCGAAGAUAUUGGGAGGAACACCGGUGGCGAAGGCGGCCCCCUGGACCGGUACUGACGCUGAGGCGCGAAAGCGUGGGGAGCAAACGGGAUUAGAUACCCCGGUAGUCCACGCCGUAAACGAUGGGCACUUGGUGUCGCGGGUAUCGACCCCUGCGGUACCGAAGCUAACGCAUUAAGUGCCCCGCCUGAGGAGUACGGUCGCAAGGCUGAAACUCAAAGGAAUUGACGGGGGCCCGCACAAGCGGUGGAGCAUGUGGUUCAAUUCGAAGCAACGCGAAGAACCUUACCUGGGUUUGAAGAUCAGUCGACCGGGGGCGAAAUCCCUCUUUCCCGCAAGGGACGGCUGGUUAGGUGCUGCAUGGCUGU